rnacentral:rRNA from 1 species
UUGGGAAUCUUGGACAAUGGGGGAAACCCUGAUCCAGCCAUGCCGCGUGAGGGAUGAGGGCCUUCGGGUUGUAAAACUCCUUCGACGGGGACGAUAACGACGGUACCCGUAGAAGAAGCUCCGGCUAACUUCGUGCCAGCAGCCGCGGUAAUACGAAGGGGGCUAGCGUUGUUCGGAAUUACUGGGCGUAAAGCGCGCGCAGGCGGCUAUCCAAGUCAGUGGUGAAAGCCCGGAGCUCAACUCCGGAACUGCCAUUGAAACUGUUUAGCUUGAGGACGAGAGAGGUGAGUGGAAUUCCCAGUGUAGAGGUGAAAUUCGUAGAUAUUGGGAAGAACACCAGUGGCGAAGGCGGCUCACUGGCUCGUAUCUGACGCUCAGGCGCGAUAGCGUGGGGAUCAAACA